rnacentral:rRNA from 1 species
GACGAACGCUGGCGGCGUGCUUAACACAUGCAAGUCGAACGGAAAGGCCCUGCUUUUGUGGGGUGCUCGAGUGGCGAACGGGUGAGUAACACGUGAGUAACCUGCCCUUGACUUUGGGAUAACUUCAGGAAACUGGGCCAAAACCCGAUAAGAGCCUCUUCCGCAAGGGGGGGGGUUGAAAAGUUUCGGCGGUGGGGGAUGGCCUCGCGGCUUAUCAGCUUGUUGGUGGGGUAGUGGCUUACCAAGGCUUUGACGGGUAGCCGGCCUGAGAGGGUGACCGGCCACAUUGGGACUGAGAUACGGCCCAGACUCCUACGGGAGGCAGCAGUGGGGAAUAUUGCACAAUGGGCGGAAGCCUGAUGCAGCAACGCCGCGUGCGGGAUGACGGCCUUCGGGUUGUAAACCGCUUUCGCCUGUGACGAAGCGUGAGUGACGGUAAUGGGUAAAGAAGCACCGGCUAACUACGUG